GCGGGUGUAGUUUAGUGGUAAAACCACAGUCUUCCAAACUGUAGUUGUGGGUUCGAUUCCCACCACCCGCUUCA
rnacentral:tRNA from 1 species